AAAAGGCAGAACCCCGGAGAGGGGGCCCCCAAAACACGAGGGACCUCCAAGAGCCUGAACGGGGGGACCCCCAGAACCCCAAAGUGCAGAGAGCAGAGGGAGUGAACUUCGGGGAGGGUUUUUUAGAGCCUUUUCCACGGGCCUCCCUCCCCUGGCUGUGGUCUCCCUGUUUGUCAGCACUCCCAGAGGGUGAAAUCCAGGACUUGGCGAUGCCACGAGGG